rnacentral:rRNA from 1 species
CACGUAGGGCGCAAGCGUUGUUCGGAUUCAUUGGGCGUAAAGGGUGCGUAGGCGGCGCGGUAAGUCGGGUGUGAAAUCUCGGAGCUUAACUCCGAAACUGCAUUCGAUACUGCCGUGCUUGAGGACUGGAGAGGAGACUGGAAUUUACGGUGUAGCGGUGAAAUGCGUAGAUAUCGUAAGGAAGACCAGUGGCGAAGGCGGGUCUCUGGACAGUUCCUGACGCUGAGGCACGAAGGCCAGGGGAGCAAACGGG